rnacentral:rRNA from 1 species
GACGAACGCUGGCGGCGUGCUUAACACAUGCAAGUCGAACGGAAAGGCCUCAGCUUGCUGGGGUACUCGAGUGGCGAACGGGUGGGUAACACGUGGGUGAUCUGCCUUGCACUUUGGGAUAAGUUUGGGAAACUGGGGCUAAUACCGGAUAUGAACUGCUGCUAGUGUGGUGGUUGGAAAGAUUUUUCGGUGCGAGAUGAGCUCGCGGCCUAUCAGCUUGUUGGGGGGGUAAUGGGCUACCAAGGGGUCGUCGGGUAGACGGGCCGGGAGGGUGUACGGGCACAUUUGGGACGGGAUUCGGGCCAGACCCCCUCGGGAGGCAGCCGUGGGGAAUAUUUCAAAAUGGGCCGGAGCCCGAUGCAGCGACGCCGGGUGGGGGGUUACCGCCUUCGGGUUGUAAACCCCUUUCGACAGGGGCGAAGCCGUUUGUGACGGUACUUGUAUAAGAAGCACCGGCUAACUACGUG